rnacentral:piRNA from 1 species
AAGAGUGGGAGGAUUGUGCUGAUUAGCU